UACGUAGGGUGCGAGCGUUAAUCGGAAUUACUGGGCGUAAAGCGUGCGCAGGCGGCUUUGCAAGACAGAUGUGAAAUCCCCGGGCUCAACCUGGGAACUGCAUUUGUGACUGCAAGGCUAGAGUACGGCAGAGGGGGAUGGAAUUCCGCGUGUAGCAGUGAAAUGCGUAGAUAUGCGGAGGAACACCAAUGGCGAAGGCAAUCCCCUGGGCCUGUACUGACUCUCAUGCACGAAAGCGUGGGGAGCAAACAGG
rnacentral:rRNA from 1 species